rnacentral:rRNA from 1 species
AUUGAACGCUGGCGGCAGGCCUAACACAUGCAAGUCGAACGGUAACAGGAAGAAUCUUGCUUCUUUGCUGACGAGUGGCGGACGGGUGAGUAAUGUCUGGGAAACUGCCUGAUGGAGGGGGAUAACUACUGGAAACGGUAGCUAAUACCGCAUAACGUCGCAAGACCAAAAAGGGGGACCUUCGGGCCUCUUGCCAUCGGAUGUGCCCAGAUGGGAUUAGCUAGUAGGUGGGGUAACGGCUCACCUAGGCGACGAUCCCUAGCUGGUCUGAGAGGAUGACCAGCCACACUGGAACUGAGACACGGUCCAGACUCCUACGGGAGGCAGCAGUGGGGAAUAUUGCACAAUGGGCGCAAGCCUGAUGCAGCCAUGCCGCGUGUAUGAAGAAGGCCUUCGGGUUGUAAAGUACUUUCAGCGGGGAGGAAGGGAGUAAAAUUAAUACCUUUGCUCAUUGACGUUACCCGCAGAAGAAGCACCGGCUAACUCCGUG